UUUUAUAUUGUGGGAAUAGGUGCUCCGGUCCGUUUCAAACGGUUCCGGAGCUUAAAAGGGAAGUUCGGUGAAAUGCCGACGCGGUCCCGCCACUGUAACAGAGGAGUCAACGCGGAUAUGCCACUGAUCUUCGGAUUGGGAAGGCGCGUUUUGACCAUGAUUCUGGAGCCAGGAGACCUGCCUGUUCUGACAGCACUGU
rnacentral:ncRNA from 1 species